GUCUGGGGAUAAAGCUCAGUUUGUAGAGUGCUUGCCUUGCAUGCACAAAGCCCUGGGUUCAAUCCCCAGCAACACA
rnacentral:tRNA from 1 species